rnacentral:rRNA from 1 species
UACGUAGGGUGCAAGCGUUGUCCGGAAUUAUUGGGCGUAAAGAGCUCGUAGGCGGUCUGUCGCGUCGGCUGUGAAAUCCCGAGGCUCAACCUCGGGUCUGCAGUCGAUACGGGCAAACUGGAGUGUUGCAGGGGAGACUGGAAUUCCUGGUGUAGCGGUGAAAUGCGCAGAUAUCAGGAGGAACACCGGUGGCGAAGGCGGUGGUCUGGGCCGGCACUGACGCUGAGGAGCGAAAGCGUGGGUAGCAAACAGG